UACGUAGGGUGCAAGCGUUAUCCGGAAUUAUUGGGCGUAAAGCGCACGUAGGCGGAUUUGUAAGUCAGGGGUGAAAUCCCGGGGCUCAACCUCGGAACCGCCUUUGAUACUGCAAAUCUCGAGUCCGGAAGAGGUGAGUGGAAUUCCUAGUGUAGAGGUGAAAUGCGCAGAUAUCAGGAGGAACACCGAUGGCGAAGGCAGGUCUCUGGGCCGAUACUGACGCUGAGGAGCGAAAGCGUGGGGAGCGAACAGG
rnacentral:rRNA from 1 species